UCCCUGGUGGUCCAGUGGCUACGACUCUGUGCUCGCAAUGCAGGGGGCCGCCUAGGUUCGAUUCUUAGUCAGGGAA